AGACGCCGGGACGGGACAGACAGGAGACAGUGGAGGAAGAGGAGCGGCGUCUCCACAAAGGACAUCACACCCCUGUCCCCUCCUGCCACUCUCAGCCGUCUGGAUGGCAGACGAGGCUGGAGUCAAGCUGCAGAGGACAAAGGACGCCCUGCAGACACUUGCAGUUUCUGCCUGAAAGACAAAGACCUGGAGAGGUUUCAUGGUUUGUAAGUUUCUCUGUGGUUUAAACAACAGGUUUCUAGGGGCCUCCCUCCUCUCCUGGUCUUUACUGAACAAGAGUUCAUGAAAAUAAAACACGUUGAUAAAAGUAAA